UAAUAUAUCGGAACGUGCCCUAGAGUGGGGGAUAACGUAGCGAAAGUUACGCUAAUACCGCAUACGAUCUAAGGAUGAAAGCGGGGGAUCGCAAGACCUCGCGCUCGUGGAGCGGCCGAUAUCUGAUUAGCUAGUUGGUGGGGUAAAAGCCUACCAAGGCGACGAUCAGUAGCUGGUCUGAGAGGACGACCAGCCACACUGGGACUGAGACACGGCCCAG
rnacentral:rRNA from 1 species